UACGUAGGGGGCAAGCGUUGUCCGGAUUUAUUGGGCGUAAAGAGCGUGUAGGCGGCCAUACAGGUCCGUUGUGAAAACUGGAGGCUUAACCUCCAGACGUCGAUGGAAACCGUAUGGCUAGAGUCCGGAAGAGGAGAGUGGAAUUCCUGGUGUAGCGGUGAAAUGCGCAGAUAUCAGGAAGAACACCCGUGGCGAAGGCGGCUCUCUGGGGACGGUACUGACGCUGAGACGCGAAAGCGUGGGGAGCGAACAGG
rnacentral:rRNA from 1 species